rnacentral:rRNA from 1 species
CAGAUCUAGCUUGCUAGAUGCUGACGAGUGGCGCACGGGUGCGUAACGCGUAUACAAUCUACCUUUAACUGAGGGAUAGCCCAGAGAAAUUUGGAUUAAUACCUCAUAGUAUUAUAAUUAGGCAUCUUUUUAUAACUAAAACUUCGGUGGUUAAAGAUGAGUAUGCGUACUAUUAGCUAGUUGGUAAGGUAAAAGCUUACCAAGGCAACGAUAGUUAGGGGGCCUGAAAGGGUGAUCCCCCACACUGGUACUGAGACACGGACCAGACUCCUACGGGAGGCAGCAGUGAGGAAUAUUGCACAAUGGAGGAAACUCUGAUGCAGCCAUGCCGCGUGCAGGAAGAAUGCCCUAUGGGUUGUAAACUGCUUUUAUACAAGAAGAAACCUCGGUACGUGUACCGACUUGACGGUAUUGUAUGAAUAAGCACCGGCUAACUCCGUGCCAGCAGCCGCGGUAAUACGGAGGGUGCAAGCGUUAUCCAGAUUUAUUAGGUUUAAAGGGUCCGCAGGCGGAAUAUUAAGUCAGUGGUGAAAGCCUACAGCUCAACUGUAGAACUGCCAUUGAUACUGAUAUUCUUGAGUAUGGAUGAAG